GAUGAAGAACGUAGCGAAAUGCGAUACGUAAUGUGAAUUGCAGAAUUCAGUGAAUCAUCGAAUCUUUGAACGCACAUUGCGCCCCUUGGUAUUCCAUGGGGCAUGCCUGUUCGAGCGUCAUUUGUACCUUCAAGCUUUGCUUGGUGUUGGGUGUUUGUCUCGCCUUUGCGUGUAGACUCGCCUUAAAAUAAUUGGCAGCCGGCGUAUUGAUUUCGGAGCGCAGUAUAUCUCGCGCUUUGCACUCAUAACGACAGCGUCCAAAAGUACAUUUUACACUCUUGACCUCGGAUCAGGUAGGGAUACCCGCUGAACUUAAGCAUAUCAAUAAGCGGAGGA
rnacentral:misc_RNA from 1 species